AGCAAAGCGAUCACACAAAUCUUGAAAAUGUACGCUAAUUUUUCAUUUACAAAGUUCUGUGGACACUGUGGGAUUUCACCCAGUGCUUGUCCUCGUGUUGCACAAGGAUGCUCACAGACCCCAACGAAAUACAAGUAGACGAAGGCGAAGGCAGCUGUGUACAUAUUGAACAAGACAGGAUGACGAUGAUUCAGAGCCUUUGUUAAUUUCCGAGGCUGUGUAAUAACGGCUUUGAGACGUAACACCCGUGGUGGCUUUAUCAAUACGAAAAAUUUCAUAUCAAAGGAACAAGUUCUAAAGACGAACUAAAUUUUGCCAAGGAUUUUAAGAGAAGGAUCAACGUACAAGGAUAUACGGAAGAAAUUCGAAACAGGAGAGCUUUUUUUAGUGAUCUUCUCAAAAUAUUUAUAAUGUUAAUUCGUAGAUUGAUAACAGAUAUAAUCUUAAGGGGAAUUGUGUUUCCAUUGAAUCGACCAGCACUUUUUAUAGUCACAUUUUAUUGACUCUAAACAUUCCUUUAUAUGAUCACUGACCCAAGUCCUAUGAGAGCUGUUGAAUAUAAAAUCGAAGUGGAUUUCGUUUUAGGUAGAAAAAAAUUCCCCUCUCUCAUUCUUCGACAUAAUAAUUAAAAUCCAAAAUGCUGAUAAUGAUAUUAAAAAUAAGAAUGAUAACGAUGAUACGUUUUUCUCUCUACUGUACCUUUUAUAUAUGACUUUAAGUCUUCCAUAUGUCAUAAAAGGAAAAUAUGAACAUCUAAAAGCGACGUUGUUGGAUUCUCAGGGAACUCUCCAGGCUGAAGUAGAAUUCGAAGGGACAGAGAGCUACUCAAGAAAUACCCUAAAGAAACGCUUAUGAGAACAGAAGGUCCACGAGGAUAGAAUAAAGAUAAGAAAAAGAAUAACUAUUAUUUCGUUUGGAAUUGGCAGACGUUCUCAUAAAUUGAAUUAACCUCAAAAUAAGCUAGAUAGAAAGGACUGUACACUCACUCUUCUUCUGGCCAACUGCUGAUCAAGCCGAUGCCUGCAUCCAACGAGACACUCCCA